CAAUAGCGUAUAUUAAAGUUGUUGCAGUUAAAAAGCUCGUAGUUGGAUUUCUGGCAGGAGCGACCGGUCACACACUCUGUGUGUGAACUUGCGUUGUCUCUGGCCAUCCUUGGGAAGAUCCUGUUUGGCAUUAAGUUGUCGGGCAGGGGAUACCCAUCGUUUACUGUGAAAAAAUUAGAGUGUUUAAAGCAGGCUUAUGCCGUUGAAUAUAUUAGCAUGGAAUAAUAAGAUAGGACUUCGGAACUAUUUUGUUGGUUUGCGUUACGAAGUAAUGAUUAAUAGGGACAGUUGGGGGUAUUCGUAUUUCGUUGUCAGAGGUGAAAUUCUUGGAUUUCCGAAAGACGAACUACUGCGAAAGCAUUUACCAAGGAUGUAUUCAUUAA
rnacentral:rRNA from 1 species